rnacentral:tRNA from 1 species
UGCCCAAUGCGGGAAUCGAACCCGGGUCGUAGCGUAGAAAACCAACGGUUUAGACCAUCCUUCUACCGACUCCUCUAAACCUAAUCGAGGC